AACUGAAAGCUUUUGAUUAUUGAUUAUAUAGAAUAAACAUGUAAUAUGUUUCAUUAUAAUCUUUGGCAGGUAUUUUUGAGCUGUUUUCAGUACUUUUGAAAAAUACAUUUAUAUUAAUUGAGAAAAUUUAUUUGUGAGAGCUUCAAAAUGUACAGUAAACAGACUUGUUCUUCCUAUGAUUUCAGGGUAUAGCUAAAAGAAAUUUUGGUAUAAUAUAGAAUAUUAUUUUAUCAUUAAAACAUAUUUUUCUCUAAAUAUCUGAGUAACCUGUACUUAGUUUCAUAUAACAUUGGUUUUAACAGUUAGAGUUGUUAUUGUUUGUGAAAGCAAUGGAUUUAUCAGAUUUUGUGUUGUAUCAGAAUAUUGAAGUAGACUUCAAACCAUUUCCUGGUGAUUGGGUUGUUGCUGAUAUUGUGACUUUUGAAGAUAGUGAAACUGUUAGAGUAUUAAAAAUCAAACCAUUGAGGCAGAACAGUACUGUAGGGAAAGUCUCUUCAGUACAACAUGACAGAGGUAUUGUUGAUGGUGAGAUAGUUUACUUUUAUUCAGCCUGUGAUAUUAAAUACCAACCACGAAGAGGAGAUUCUGUUACUGUUGUAGCAAUAGAAAGUGACCAGGGUAGAUUCCAGUGGCGAGCUUUGUCAAUAAACCCAAAGCAAAUGUCAGUACCUUCACUGAGAUUUCAUACUCAGAAGUCACCUACUCAGAGCAAUUUCAUGCGUGAACUGUUGUCAGACAAAAACAGUAUUACCAUAUCUUCACCAUUGGAUUUUCAGAACAUUCACUUAGGAAAAAAGAAAUAUAUUACUGCUUGGAUUAGGAAUGAAGGCUGUUCUGAGAAGGUCUUGCUGUUGUGUAAAUUACAAACAUCAGGUUCAUCAGACUGUCAGUUUUUACUUGGAAUGCCUAAGCUCUAUAACUUUCCUCAGCAGGAUGUGGCAUCAUUGUGUAGUGUUGCUCAAAAAAAUACUUCAAGUUGUGUACCAAAUAAUGCCCUGGUACUCCCUCCAAGAUCUGUGGCUUACCUGAAUAUCACCUGUGAUGCCAGGCAUUUGGGGAAAACCCAAAACCUAGUCUUGUUCAAAUUUCAAGGAUUUGAAAUAGCUCGGUAUGUCACUGUGAAGGUGGAGGAUUCUCGGCAGGAACAGCUGAAUCCUAGUGCACCUUAUCAACCAAAUAGAAGAAUAACAAGGAACAUUAGGAAUGCAGAAUCUGUAACGAAUGGCAUGCUGGUUCCUGGAGAAAAAUUAAGGAGGAGCAGGUUCCCUUUGUUUUUUCCUCAGUACCCUGUACCAAAUGCCUUGUGGGAAGCUGUACUUCAAGGGCAAGACAUUCUUAGUGUUGCACAAUGUCUUAUAGAGAAACUUGCUAAGGAGAACUAUGCUGAUAAAUUCUCAACUCUUUUGCAUUUGGAAGAAAUUCAGAUGCAACUUGAUAUGGAAGAAUUUGACAUUAAAGAGGCCCCCUUGAGACGUUGCAAGGAAUACUUAGCUUUACAUGUUCCUGGUUUAGCAGAAGGACGGCCAUCUGUUCUCUUAGGGGACAAGGUUAUCUUGUCAUCACCAGUUCUUGAAGAAGAGUUGUUAUAUGAAGGUUUUGUGCAUGAGGUUUUAAAAGAUGAAGUGUUGCUAAAGUUUCACAGCUCUUUCCAUUCAAACUAUAAUGAUGAAGUAUACAACGUGUCGUUUGCUUUGAGUAGAACUGCUCUCAGAAGGUGUCAUCAAGCUGUUUUCAUGAUAUCCGAACUACCAGCUAAUGUAUUAUUUCCCUCAGUACUUCAUCUGAAGAACCCACAAGUCCAACUAAUAGAAGAUUCAAGUAAAAAUUCAAGCCAAGAAGACAGUCCUCAAAAAUUAUUAAAUAAAAUGUCAAAAAACUUCAAUAGUAACAGCAUUUUAACAGCUGAUGAUAAAAACCCAAAAAUCUCUGAAUUAUCUGCCUUAAAUGUAAUUCAAAAUACUUGUGGACCUGUAAUAUCACAUCUAACUCCAACAUCUGCAAAGGAUUAUCAAGUAAGAAAUGCAAGAAAGACUUUGCUCUCAAAUAAUGUCAGUGGAAAGAGAUUAACCUGGGUAAACAAGACCUUAAAUGAAAGACAGAAGGCAGCAGUGAAACGAAUAGUGAGCGGUCAAUGUCGUCCAACCCCUUACAUUAUAUUUGGACCUCCAGGUACAGGAAAGACAGUUACAGUGGUGGAAGCUAUAUUACAAAUUUAUUUGAAUGUUCCCUCUAGUCGGAUAAUUGCCUGUACUCCUUCUAACAGUGCUGCUGAUUUAAUUACCUUAAGAAUACAUGAAAGUAAAAGGGUUCAAGCAGUGGAUUUGGCUCGUUUAAAUGCUUUCCAGAGGAUUGAAGAGAACAUUCCAGAAGAAAUCAGAAUAUAUUGUAAAAAUAGUAAUGAUCUUGACCUACUCUCCCAUCACCGCAUUGUUAUUAGCACAUGUACUACAGCAGGAAAUUUCUACAGCCUGGGUCUAACAACAUCACAUUUUACUCAUGUUUUUGUUGAUGAAGCAGGUCAAGCUACUGAACCAGAGUGUUUGGUUCCCAUCAACCUGGCAGUUCUUGGAGAUGGUCAGGUAAUAUUAGCUGGAGAUCCUUUACAAUUGGGACCAGUUUUACGGUCCAGAUAUGCUCAGUUAUAUGGCUUACAGAUUUCCCUAUUAGAAAGGUUUAUGGACCGACCCGUGUACUCGAGAGAUGAAGAGAAGUUUGCUGAUCAUGGGAACUAUGACCCAUUAAUUGUUACCAAGUUAGUAAACAACUAUCGAUCUCAUUCAGCCAUAUUGAGUCUUCCUUCUCGAUUAUUUUAUCACAAUGAACUUGUUUGUUGUGCAUCUAAAGAUCAGCGAAAAAGUCUGUGUUACUGGGAUGGUUUACCAAAAACAGGAUUUCCCAUUGUAUUUCAUGGAGUAAAGGGUUCAGAUAUGCGAGAGGGAAACAGUCCAUCUUGGUUUAAUCCUGCUGAGGUUGUACAGGUCGUCAAGUAUGUUCAAUCUCUGUAUAGGUUUGGACUAAAACCAGAUGAUGUUGGUGUCAUCACUCCGUAUCGUAAGCAGGUUGGAAUGCAGUAGAAAAGAUUAAAACAUUUUUCAGUAGUCUGGCUGUGGAAUAUUGUAAAGUUGGUUCUGUUGAAGAAUUUCAAGGUCAAGAACGUCUUGCCAUUAUUAUUUCCACGGUUAGAGCUUGUGAAGAGUAUGUGGAGUUUGACAGCUUGCAUAAUCUGGGUUUUUUAAGUAAUCCAAAGCGUUUCAAUGUUGCUGUAACCCGAGCCCAAGGACUCCUAGUGGUAGUUGGUGACCCACUUCUUUUAUCAAAGGAUUCUAAUUGGAAUGAGCUCCUGAUGCACUGUGUGAAGAAUGGUGCUUACACUGGAUGCAAUUUAAGGCUUGAAGAAUUGCCGGAAGAAAUUUUAAAUUAACCAUAUGGGAAUAUAAAAUAUUUCAAUUUAUCCAGACUUCAGGUAAUGACAGAAUAUUACAUUUGAUUCAGAAUUUCACAGGUAGCGUAAUUAAGAUUAUUCCAGGAAAAAGUAAGAACUAAAAGACAUAUACAUGUGCAUCUAUAUAUAUGAAUACAAGUUGAGAUUACAAGACCAAGUAAAACGUUUUAUUGGAAGUGUGAUGACAAUAGUGAUCCAUUUUUUAUAUUUUUUAGUAAAUAUUGAGAAUACCAAAAAACAUUUUAGUUAAACAUGAUAGACUUGUAGUGGCAUAUGUUGUUUUUUUAUAAUCGUUGGUGUGCAGAACACAGAAUGUGAUUUAAUAAAGGAUGAGUGAUUUUAUUUUUCAUUUUAUUGUAGAAUAAAAUCCUAAUAAAAUUCAGAAAUCAUAUAUGAAAAAUAGCAAACUAGGAUUUGGAGAGAAAAAGAAAUAAACCCAUUCAGUUGUUAAAGCUUUUGAAUCAUAUUAUAAUUUAGGUCAAUUUUGGUGUUUGAAAAAUAGUUCUUUAAUUGGGAAAAAACGUGACAGUGUUCAAGAAUACCAUUAAAAGAAAACUAAUUUUUAAAAUCUCUCAGGAACUUCAGAGUACCCAUGAAUUGUUUCUUCUGUCAAAUUUGUUCUUGUUCAUUUUUAACUUCAUUAUCAAUAUGAGGUACGCAGUGGUUAUGUAUUCUGUUAUAAUUAACCUCAUUAAAUGUUAUGUAUCUUGUUGUAAGUAACCUCAUUAUAUGUUAUUUUUCUGUUUUCUUUGCUAGAAUAUUUCAAGUAUGAAUACUGAAUACAUUACAUCUAAAGAAAAGAUACAGUAUAUGCUUAUUUUUAGGUUAAUUCAUUACUUCUUAGGAGUUAAGGAAUGUUGGUUACAGUAAGAAAUCUGGUUGUUGUUUAUGCACGUAAGUCAUGUUUUUGAACAGUCUAUUUAAAUCUAUAUUCUACAGGUAUAAGAGUAGCCAGUCAAUAUGCACCAUUAUGGAAUGGGUUUUGUGUGUUAUGCUAAGAGCUGUAUUUUAUGAAACUCAAAGAUUUUGAGUAAGGUCACUCUGAAUAUAUAGUCAAAAAACAAAAAAUAUUUGUAUAAUUGUCUUUUCAAUAAACACAUCUAUUUUCUUUUUA
rnacentral:misc_RNA from 1 species